GAAGUAUUUCUCAUUUGUUUUAACAAAUUUUCAUAGUUUUUCAAAUAUUUUCAGAAUGUUUUAGUGUAAAUAUUGUGGUUACAAAGUGUUACAAUGGUAUUAGAUAUAAAUUAUUGAGGUAUUUUGUAUAUAGGUGUGUUAAAUUGAGUGUGUUUGGGGGACGCCAAACAAAUUUCUCAAGAUGAAAUUCAGAAUUCAUGUAUUGUUUACAAGUGGUGGAUCAUGAAAUGUUUAACAAUAUGGCGUAUGAUAAACACAUGAACACAUGAAAAGGUAUUCCAAUAAGAUAUUGGAGUAAAAACAUCAAUAAAAAAUAUAAUGGAAGAAAAAAUCCACCAAGGAGACAUAUACAAAAGAAAAAAGCAAUUAUAAGAACGGAAAUUCCCCCAUCCCUUGAGUGGAAUACAAGGAAACAAAUUGGAUUAAAGUGUCAAAGGUGAAAUAAAAAAUUCGCAUAUUGUUUAUCUUUACGAUAUCUGUGAAGCGUCAAGUCGCUGAAGCGAUACGCGUAAAUGAAUUUUGAUUCGGGAAAAUCGACCUUCUAUUCAUACAACCUCAUCGUUGAACGUAUGAAAUUCCUAUGGAUAAUUCGCUCUAGCGAUACUCAUAUUUGCAUUUAAAAUGGUACCUACGCAGGAUAGAUGGAUCCAAUUCCAAAUUAUGUCUAUCUUGGGAAUUAACUUUGGGACGGGGAUUCCUGUUUAUCCAAAAAAGUGUGGAGCAAAAGGGAGCCGAGUUAUUUCGAAAUUAUGAUUCCGAAUGCGUCCAAUGCGUUCACGCCUCGUUCCACAGUACAGACGUAAAAAAACCAGGGAGCAAAGAGGACCCUUCAAGUGAACUAGUGAUUACAAACUCAUUUCCCUUUAAUAAAGGAGCAUUUAAGAAAUUCGGCCCCGAGCAAUAUUCGCUCUGCAAUUUCGGAACCCGUUUAGAAAUUAUAGAGGCAAAAGCAGGCGUAUGGUUAGAUACGGCAACCAAAGUAUAUAAAGAAUUCAGCAAGAAGUAUAUUAUAAGAGAUUAUUUAAAUAUGGACAUACCUGCAAUGGCCAUCCAUGGGUAAAAGGUGUGGUUGGUGGGUUGAUGUUGGACUGGUUGAGCUGCUGCUGCUGACCCUGGGAUUCAGUAUCGGACAUGUGGUCGAGCGAAGUUUGCAGUCGCGAUUGCAAGAGCGCGCCACUGUGUGUAGUGCGACCGGCGCGGCGCGACUCACGCAAUGUACUGAGAGCCGCUACGGGAACACGCGCGCCGCCCCG